UGGCGAACGGGUGAGUAACACGUGGGUAAUCUGCCCUGCACUCUGGGACAAGCCCGGGAAACUGGGUCUAAUACCGGAUAUGACCACUUCGGGCAUCCGAUGGUGGUGGAAAGCUCCGGCGGUGCAGGAUGAACCCGCGGCCUAUCAGCUUGUUGGUGGGGUAAUGGCCUACCAAGGCGACGACGGGUAGCCGGCCUGAGAGGGCGACCGGCCACACUGGGACUGAGACACGGCCCAGACUCCUACGGGAGGCAGCAGUGGGGAAUAUUGCACAAUGGGCGAAAGCCUGAUGCAGCGACGCCGCGUGAGGGAUGACGGCCUUCGGGUUGUAAACCUCUUUCAGUAGGGAAGAAGCCUUCGGGUGACGGUACCUGCAAAAGAAGCACCGGCUAACUACGUGCCAGCAGCCGCGGUAAUACGUAGGGUGCAAGCGUUGUCCGGAAUUAUUGGGCGUAAAGAGCUCGUAGGCGGUUUGUCGCGUCGAUUGUGAAAGCCCGGGGCUUAACCCCGGGUCUGCAGUCGAUACGGGCAGGCUAGAGUUCGGUAGGGGAGAUCGGAAUUCCUGGUGUAGCGGUGAAAUGCGCAGAUAUCAGGAGGAACACCGGUGGCGAAGGCGGAUCUCUGGGCCGAUACUGACGCUGAGGAGCGAAAGCGUGGGGAGCGAACAGGAUUAGAUACCCUGGUAGUCCACGCCGUAAACGGUGGGCACUAGGUGUGGGCAACAUUCCACGUUGUCCGCGCCGCAGCUAA
rnacentral:rRNA from 1 species